rnacentral:rRNA from 1 species
UACGAAGGGGGCUAGCGUUGCUCGGAAUCACUGGGCUUAAAGCGUGUGUAGGCGGAUCGUUAAGUGCCUUGUGAAAUCCCGCGGCUUAACCGUGGAACUGCUUGGCAUACUGGCGGUCUUGAGCCACCUAGGGGCAACCGGAACAAAUGGUGGAGCGGUGAAAUGCGUAGAUAUCAGGAGGAACACCGGUGGUGUAGACGGCUUUCUGGACCGUAACUGACGCUGAGACACGAAAGCGUGGGUAGCAAACAGG